rnacentral:rRNA from 1 species
AGUGAACGCUGGCGGUAGGCCUAACACAUGCAAGUCGAACGGCAGCACAGUAAGAGCUUGCUCUUACGGGUGGCGAGUGGCGGACGGGUGAGGAAUACAUCGGAAUCUACUUUUUCGUGGGGGAUAACGUAGGGAAACUUACGCUAAUACCGCAUACGACCUACAGGUGAAAGCAGGGGAUCUUCGGACCUUGCGCGAUUGAAUGAGCCGAUGUCGGAUUAGCUAGUUGGCGGGGAAAAGGCCCACCAAGGCGACGAUCCGUAGCUGGCCUGAGAGGAUGUUCAGCCACACUGGAACUGAGACCCGGCCCGGCCUCCUACGGGAGGCAGCAUAGGGGAUUAUUGGACAUUGGGCGCAAGCCUGCUCCAGCCCUACCGCGUGGGUGAAGAAGGCCUUCGGGUUGUAAAGCCCUUUUUUUGGGAAAGAAAAGUAUCAGGUUAAUACCCCGCUGUUCUGACGGUACCCUACGAAUAAGCACCGGCUAACUUCGUG